UUUCAACAUACUAUGCUGAAAAUGGAAUAGAAGAUAUUGAUAAUAAUACUGGUGUUUUUCAAUAUGACUGUACAAGAGAUCACACAAGGCAUGCUGGGAUAAGAAUAGAAAUUUAUACUACUAUGGAAUAUUUCAACAUACCAUUCUGAAAAUGGAAUAGAAGAUAUUGAUAAUAAUACUGGUGUUUUUCAAUAUUACUGUACAAGAGAUCACACAAGGCAUGCUGAGAUAAGAAUAGAAAUUUAUACUACCAUGGAAUAUUUCAACAUACCAUGCUGAAAAUGGAAUAGAAGAUAUUGAUAAUAAUACUGGUGUUUUUCAAUGUAUGUGAAAUUGUAACUGAAUGUAAUUGAUAGCACCUACAGUAGUUGUAUAACAAAAAUUAGUAUAAGAAACCUAGACUAUAAGAUAGAGUAAAUGAUAUUAAUUUACCUUAAAGGAAUUUCCUAUUUUUCGUUUAAGUUGAUACUUCAAAAACCU